GCCGAUGUCAUGACACUGCACUGCAGCCUGGGUGACAGAGCAAGACUCCGUCUCAAAAAAAAAAAAAAAAAAAAAAAAGAAAAUAACUCGCGAUCUCAACCUUUUCUGUUGAAAUAAGUUGUAGAAUCUUCAGUGAUUAUAAUAAGUAAGUGUGUGGAGAAAUGGAGAGAAGUUCAAGUAUGUGAGAGCUGUCCUAAAUUUAUAAGCUAAAGCCCAAAGAAAAGCAGUUAAAGCAGAGAUUGAGCAUAAGAAAUGUAACUUAUAAUUUUUUUUUCCCCAAA